rnacentral:rRNA from 1 species
CGCCCUCCGGGGGAAAGAUUUAUCGGUAUUGGAUGANCCGGCGUUUGAUUUCCUCUNUGGNGAGGUAAUGGCUCNCCACNGGGACGAUCAUUACCUGGCCUGANAGGAUGAUCANCCCCNCUGGGACUGACUCCCAGNCCACUUUCCCCCGGGAGGCANAUAAGGGGAAUAUUGGACAAUGGGCGAAAGCCUGAUCCAACCAUGCCGCGUUGUGUGAUGAAGGCCCUAGGGUUGUAAACUCCUUUCAACGUGGAAUAUAAUGAC